AGAGUUUGAUCAUGGCUCAGAUUGAACGCUGGCGGAAUGCUUUACACAUGCAAGUCGAACGGCAGCACGGGGGCAACCCUGGUGGCGAGUGGCGAACGGGUGAGUAAUACAUCGGAACGUGCCCAGUCGUGGGGGAUAACGCAGCGAAAGCUGUGCUAAUACCGCAUACGAUCUACGGAUGAAAGCGGGGGAUCGCAAGACCUCGCGCGAUUGGAGCGGCCGAUGGCAGAUUAGGUAGUUGGUGGGGUAAAGGCUCACCAAGCCGACGAUCUGUAGCUGGUCUGAGAGGACGACCAGCCACACUGGGACUGAGACACGGCCCAGACUCCUACGGGAGGCAGCAGUGGGGAAUUUUGGACAAUGGGCGCAAGCCUGAUCCAGCCAUUCCGCGUGCAGGAUGAAGGCCCUCGGGUUGUAAACUGCUUUUGUACGGAACGAAAAGCCUUCUUCUAAUACAGGAGGGUCAUGACGGUACCGUAAGAAUAAGCACCGGCUAACUACGUGCCAGCAGCCGCGGUAAUACGUAGGGUGCGAGCGUUAAUCGGAAUUACUGGGCGUAAAGCGUGCGCAGGCGGUGAUGUAAGACAGUUGUGAAAUCCCCGGGCUCAACCUGGGAACUGCAUCUGUGACUGCAUCGCUGGAGUGCGGCAGAGGGGGAUGGAAUUCCGCGUGUAGCAGUGAAAUGCGUAGAUAUGCGGAG
rnacentral:rRNA from 1 species